rnacentral:ncRNA from 3 species
GGUACCUGCGGAAGGAUCAUUA